UUGCUAACUUCCCGAAUAAAAAAAUAUUCCCUUCCCUCCUCCUCUAAAACCCUUCAAAAACCCCUGUUCUUCUUUUUUUUUUUUAAAAACAGCUAAUCAUUUUCUUGCAUCCGAACAAGCAUGAAUACAGUAAAAGCAAACAUAAAGAACCCAAAGGUGUGGGUAUUGGUGAUCGGAGUGACAGUGGCUGGUGGGGUGGGGGGGGGGGGGGCUGAGACGCGGAGACGGAAAGCCAAAUUUAAAGAGGACUUUGGAGCCUUCGUUCAAAGAUUCCUGAUUCUUCCAUCCCCUCAGCCUCCUCCUCCGGCUGCAAAGCAAACCCUCGCUGGGCUCACUUUUGCCAUCAACGACAUAUUUGAGUUGGAGGAUUAUGUGACGGGUUUUGGGAAUCCAGACUGGGCAAGAACGCAUGAGGCUUCUGAGAAGACAGCAGUGACAGUGACUGCUCUGUUAAAGAAUGGGGCUGUCUGUGUCGGCAAGACUAUUAUGGGCGAAUUAGGAUUCGGGGUGAGUGGCGAAAAUAUGCAUUAUGGUACUCCUAUCAAUCCGGAAAUGCCCACCCAUGUCCCCGGAGGUUCUUCUAGUGGUUCAGCUGUGGCCGUUGCCGCUGGGCUCGUUGAUUUUGCUCUAGGUACUGAUACAAUUGGGUGCAUUAGAAUUCCAGCAGCAUUUUGCGGUCUCCUCAGUUACAGACCAUCCCAUGGGGCUGUGUCUACUAUUGGAGUUUUGCCAAAUUCUCAAAGUUUAGACACUGUUGGAUGGCUGGCACGUGAUCCCUCUAUAUUACUUCGUGUUGGGCAUGCUGUACUUAAACUAAAUACUGUGGAACCCAGAAGGGCGAGACGUCUUAUUUUUGCUGACGAUCUUUUUCAGCUUUCUAAGGUUCCCAAACAGAAGGCUGAAGGUGUUAUUAGCAAAGCAAUUGAAAAUCUAUCUGGAUACCAGCCCGAACAGCAUAUUAAUUUUGACCAACAUAUUUCUUUGAAUGUACCGAGUCUAAAAGGGUUCCGUGACCAAUCAACAAAACUGCAAAAUGGAAUCUCUAAUUUGAAAGCUCUCUCUUCUGCAAUGGUUUCAUUACAAAGACAUGAAUUUAAAACAAAUCAUGAAGAUUGGGUUAAAUCAGUGGAACCCAAGUUAGCAUCUGAUGUCUCUGAUAAUGUUCUCACAGCCAUUAACACUACACAUGAGAACAUAAAAGCACUUUAUGAUAUCAGGAAAGAGUUGCGAGCAUGCAUGCAAAUUCUCUUAAAGGAUAAUGGAAUAUUGGUUAUUCCAACAGUUGCUGAUCCACCGUCAAAACUUAAUUCAAAGAAACAGGAUACUGUUGAGUCUCACAAUAGAGCACUGAUACUUUCAAGCAUUGCAAGCAUGUCUGGAUGUUGUCAGGUUACUAUUCCAUUGGGAAAGAAUGAUGGCUGUCCUAUCUCUGUUUCAUUUAUCACAUUUCAUGGAGGGGACAAGUUUCUUCUUGAUACAGUAUUGGAUAUGUACUCAUCUCUUAAAGAGCAAAUCAACUUUGUUUCCAAUCCAGUACCAUUGCAAGACACCAAUGAAAAUUUUGAUGCUUCAGAACUCUUGAAAGAAAAGGGCAAUGCUGCAUAUAAGGGGAAGCAGUGGAAUAAGGCUGUUAAUUACUACAGUGAAGCUAUUAAAUUGAAUGGGAAAAAGGCAACUUACUAUUCCAACCGGGCAGCAGCUUACUUACAAGUGGGAUGCUUUCAGAAAGCUGAAGAAGACUGCAAUAGGGCAAUAUCACUGGAUGAAAAGGUAAAUUAGAGAAAUGGGGGACUAGAAGAAUAAAAGAAAAUUGCACAUAUUUGAUAAUGCAUCAGAAUGUGAAGGCAUAUCUGAGGCGUGGAACAGCCAGAGAAUCACUCCUCUUCUACAAAGACGCAGCUCAAGAUUUCAAGCAUGCUCUCGUCCUUGAACCGCAGAAUAAAGUAGCCAGACAUGCUGAAAAGAGACUCAGAAAACUCAUGAGUUGACAUUUUGCUAAUCACUCCCCAGCUUUACAAAAUGGCAUAGUACUGAAGGGGGAUCAAAGGUCUAUUAUUCACUUUUCCAACGUCCACCUUUGUGGGCAAAAGAAAUGGAGAGAAAGAAGCAACUCUGGUUUUUACUCCCACCUCUUGCAAGCUUUUUAAUUGAAAAUAAAAGAAAAUUGUGUCCAGUUCUGUUCAACGAAAUUUUGCUUUCCUUUCAAGGUACUCUUUUAUUGCCCCUUUAGAUGUGAUGAGAAACGGUUUGUGCUGCUAUAACACUCCCUUUAUCCAUUUUAUUUUAGCUUUCUUCUGUUUUUCUUAUAGAGGGUCUUCAAGACUUUGACGUUAGAUUACAGGUUAUCUCAUUUGGAUGCUGAAAUGUUUAUAUUGCCUCCAGUUCAAAAUUUCUA